rnacentral:rRNA from 1 species
GACGAACGCUGGCGGCGUGCUUAACACAUGCAAGUCGAACGGACAGGCCCUGCUUUUGUUGGUUUCUCGAUUGGCGCACGGGUGAGUAACACGUGAGUAACCUGCCCUUGACUUUCGGAUAACUUCACGAAACUGGGGCUCAUACCCGAUAUGAUCUUCUGCUCCAUGGUGGUGGUUGGAAAGUUUCGGCGGUUGGGGCUGGACUCGCGGCUUAUCAGCUUGUUGGUGUGGUAGUGGCUUACCAAGGCUUUGACGGAUAGCCGGCCUGGGAGGGUUAACGGGCACAAUGGGACUGAGAUACGGCCCAGACUCCUACGGGAGGCAGUAGUGGGGAAUAUUGCACAAUGGGCGGAAGCCUGAGGCAGAAACGCCGCGUGCGGGAUGACGGCUUUCGGGUUGUAAACCGAUUUCGAAUGUGACGAAGAGUGAGUGACGGUAAUGGGUAAAGAAGCAACGGCUAACUACGUG